AAACUUCAGUGGAGAUGAUCAAAAGCCUAUAAUUGACAGGGGGGAAGCUCAGCAUGGUUCUGAUCUUCCAGAUGGCCAAAGCUUAUUCAGUUUACCUGGGCAAUAUGGGAUCGAUGCAAAAUCAGUACGACAUGAAUAUAUCACUGAAUCAAGCAACAAUGCUAAUGCUAUUGAUGACAAUUUCCUGCUUGAUGAGCCAU
rnacentral:misc_RNA from 1 species